rnacentral:rRNA from 1 species
UGGGGAAUCUUGCGCAAUGGGCGAAAGCCUGACGCAGCGAUGCCGCGUGCGGGAAGACGGCCUUCGGGUUGUAAACCGCUUUCAGCAGGGACGAAAUUGACGGUACCUGCAGAAGAAGCUCCGGCCAACUACGUGCCAGCAGCCGCGGUAAGACGUAGGGGGCGAGCGUUGUCCGGAAUUAUUGGGCGUAAAGGGCUCCUAGGUUGUUCAGUAAGUCUACUGUGAAAAUCCAAGGCUUAACCUUGGGACGCCAGUGGAUACUGCUGUGACUCGAGUUCGGUAGAGGAGUGUGGAAUUCCUGGUGUAGCGGUGAAAUGCGCAGAUAUCAGGAGGAACACCAACGGCGAAGGCAGCACUCUGGGCCGAUACUGACACUGAAGAGCGAAAGCAUGGGGAGCAA